rnacentral:lncRNA from 1 species
AGAUUAUUUGAAGAGAUGAAAAUAUUCUUUAGUUUUGAUAUGCAGAUUCCCUCAUCAGAUACAGUACUGGUACAUGAAAUAGGGAAAUGGCUACGAAUGGCAGGAUCUCUAACAAAAUGUGUCAUAGUUUUUGAUGCUGUUAAUCAACUGGAUGACGGAUCUGGAGUAGGCGGUUCGUUGACAUAUAAUAAAUACGAUUUUAAGUUCUUGAAUAACCUGUUAUCUGAAAAUUGUUCUUUAAUUAAUAUAAGUAAAAUUCAUCUUCCAAUGUUUAGAUAACAUUAAAAUAUUACAUGUACGACAUUUGCAUUAAUCAUUGCUUAUAGUUAUGUUUAAAUAUCUUUGUCAGAUGAGUUAAGGAAAACGAAAAUCCCUUCCCUCAAAAUUUGAUAAUUAUUCAAUGUAUUAUUCAUAAUAAUUGUGAAAUUAUUCAAACAUAGUUAAUUCUUGUCUAUAAAAUAUUGAUAAUAUCAUAUAAAUAAAAUUAUUCCUUUCAGCAGCUAGAAAAAAUGACGACUACAUAAAUAUGCAAAUAAGGAACUGUUAUAUGAUUUUGUAUGAGACAACUUUCCUGCUAAGAACGAGGGUAUAAACAACUACAGGUCACAUCACGGCCUUUAAUGAUGAAUAAAACCCAUACGCAUACCCACAAAUAGUAUUUAUUUAUUGUCUCACCCUAUUUUUGUGUUAUUUGUCAUCAAUAUGACUUCAUUACAGUGGACUGAAAUCUAUUUGUCUAAACAAGUUAUUGGCUGAGAUAGUCUGUAUGUCUAUAAGCCUAAAAUUUGGAAAACCAAAUGCAACGUCGGACGGUUUAUAAAAAAAAAUGUUACACCAGCAAGACUUUGAAAUCGGUUGUAAUAACCUGUAUCUCCAAUGCCUUUCAGCCUUCAGAAAGGUAGAAUAAAAACUAAGUAUACCCAAAUCUAUUAGAAAAUAAUAUGAUAUAGGAUAAUUAUCAAACGACAACUAUCCACCGAUAACUAAAUGACACAGAUGGCAUAGUCGUAGUAAUGUAAGAUUAUUAUAUCUCCCAUAAUAAACGCUGAAAUAAUAUUGAUAUUUAACUUUUUACAGAAAGUACUGAACAUGAUUUGUUGUGGAUACCAUCAGAAAUUCCUCCCAAUGUUUUUCUAUUGAUAUCUACGCUUCCUGGUAGGGUAAGUAACAUUUUUAUAUAAAAUAUAAAAAAGGGGGGAUUAACUUUAUAAGUUUCUCAUAGUAAAGUUCUGUUAUAUGCAUUAUAAGUGUUAUCCGAUGCCUUUAUCGUUUAAUGCUAAAAUAUAUUCAACAUUGAAAUCAAAGCAAAUGCUUAACGUCAUGUAAGUUGAAUUUAUAAUAUGUAUGACAACUAAAAAAGGUAUAUUUACUAAAGAAAAAGUGCAUCUAUAGAAACUGGAUUGCUUUCAGAAGUUUAAUAGUGGACUGUCUAGUGAAAUCUUAACAACCAUCUGUAAUAAUUAGAAAUCAAAGGUACCAGGUUUAUAAUUUAGUACGCCAGACGCACGUUUCGUCUACAUAAGACUCAUCAGUGACGCUCGUAUCAAAAUAUUUAUAAAGCCAAACAAAUAUAAAGUUGAAGAGCAUUGAGGAUCCAAAAUUCCAAAAAGUUGUGCCAAAUACGGCUAAGGAAAUCUAUGCCUGGGAUAAGAAAAUCCUUAGUUUUCGAAAAAUUCAAAGUUUUGUAAACAGGAAAUUUAUAAACAUGACCACAUUAUUGAUAUUCAUGUCAGCACCAAAGUAUUGACUACUGGGCUGGUGAUACCCUCGGGGACGAAACGUCAUUGCCAAAAUGCAAAACGCAUACUUUUGCUAAAAUAUAGGAAUGAAAAUAGUAAAUUAAGGCAACAUAGUCUACCAAUGUUUAACUCUCAUCAAUCGAUUCAAAAUAUAGAUCAAGGUCACAAACAAGAUUUGAGUGAAUCGAAUAAAGAGGGGGGGGGGGGGUAGUACCUUUCUAUCCCAUCGAAUUGGAGAUAAAGGAUACUACAGAUACAGUUAAGUCGGCUUCAUAUCUUGACUUACAUCUAGAAAUUGACAAUGAGGGUCGGUUGAAAACAAAACUUUACGACAAAAGAGAUGAUUUCAGCUUUCCAAUUGUGAACUUUCCAUUUCUAAGUAGCAACAUUCCAGCAGCACCUGCAUACGGGGUAUAUAUCUCCCAAUUGAUACGAUAUUCCCGUGCUUGCAUUUCCUAUCAUGAUUUUCUUGAUAGAGGGUUAAACCAAGAGUUCCAAAUGGUGAAGUUGAAAUCAUCCCUUCGUAAAUUUUACGGACGCCAUCACGAGUUGGUUGACCGUUAUGGAAUAACCGUUUCACAAAUGAUAUCGGAUAUGUUCCUUACGUCGUAACUACAAUCCCCUUCCCUUUCAUGAAUGUGACCUACCGAAUUAGACUAUUUACCGGAUUUGUAAUCACAUAAGCAACACGACGGGUGCCACAUGUGGAGCAGGAUCUCCUUACCCUUCCGAAGCACCUGAGAUCACCCCUAGUUUUUGGUGGGGUUCGUGUUGUUUAUUCUUUAGUUUUCUGUGUUGUGUCAUGUGUGCUAUUGUUUUUCUGUUUGUCUUUUUCAUUUUUAGCCAUGGCGUUGUCAGUUUGUUUUAGAUUUAUGAGUUUGACUGUCCCUUUGGUAUCUUUCGUCCCUCUUUUAUGUUAACCUGUUAUGGCCUUUUUCAAGGUGGUGUUAACUAUUAUUUGAGAUAAAUUGAAACUGAUUACUGUUUAUAACCCACUUUGUUAACUGUUAUCAGCCUUUUUGCAUUUGUUGUUAACUGUUUUUGCCAAAAUCGAGGUGUUGUUUACAUGUAAAUGCACCCCUGUUGCCCCCCUCAAUAAACGCGAGACCGGGUGCGGUGACAAGAUACAUCACCCAGUAUAGGAUAACAUUUAAAUCAUUCUUUUAUUUAAAUAUAUAUUUUGUUAUUUAACUUGAACGCAAUUUUUUACAUAACAAUCAGGUUGUUAAAGCCAAAAAAAGAGUGAAAUCAUAUGUAGCAUCUGAACCAUUCAAUUUAUUAUAUUACAGGCAAUGAACGCCUGUACUGAAGCUGGAUUUCCAAGUAUGAGAGUAAGUCCUCUUCAAGAAUCAGAGAAAAUGCAGAUCAUCACAGAUUAUUUGGAAGGAAUUUACGGAAAAACUUUGACUAUGGAACAAAAAGGAAUGAUCAUCAAUGUAAAACAGACAUCAAAUCCACUUUACCUGAAAUCUCUCCUAGACGAGGUAGAAUUUUCUGAUCAUUUUAAGACUAAAAUUACCAACUUUUUACAAUACAUGACAGAUAAUUUCAGGUUUUAUGGAACGUUAUUCAUAUUAUACUAACUUGAAGAUUCCCCUUAUUUUAAAAAGUUUGUAAAAAAAAUUUAAAAAAUAGUAACAAAAAUAAUGGAUAAUCUGUUUAGUCUUUACACAAAUAUUUCAUUGAAACAAACUGGACACAGAAAUAUGACUUAUAAUAUUAAACGAGAAAUGUUGUCAUUUGAACCAUGAUAAUUUCCGUAUUGAAAAUAUAAAAUUCGCAAAUUUCUGUUAUCGUAUACAAAGAGAGCCAAACAAAACAUAUAUAAAUUAUUAAACAAGGACUGCUACAUCGAGUUCACUUUCGUUUUACAGGUCCGUAUGUUUGGAUCAUUCAGAACACUGACAAACAAAAUUUCUGAGUAUUUAUCAGCUGAAAGUCCACAGGAUCUUUUUGCAAAAAUCCUUGAAAGAUUGGAAGAAGAAUUCGAGAAGGGACAAACUCCAAGGUAUUUGGUUAAUCAAUGUGUACCUCUACAAAUGGUUAUGCAUCGGGUUUCAAUUGUUUAAUCAUGUUGCCCUUUGGUGGAACAUAGACCAUUAAAGAUAUUUCUCCACCUGUUUUAUGUAUCCUCCCCAGAUCAUGCCACAUAUACCAUUCUUCCCCAUCUCGGCUGCAACGUUUUUUCUCUAGGUGUAUGUUAAUCUGCCCCUGCCACGCAUUCUUUGUGGGUUCCACUCUAAGGCUUGUCUUGUAAUGCUGGUUUUUUUUUUUGCUUCCUCGGUAUGUGCUCUAUCCAUAUCAAUUUUCUCUUUUUUAAUUCCUUCGAUAACUAUUAAUUCAUCAUCAACUAGGGAUUGGUUGGUCUUUUCCUGCAGAUCUUGGUUUGAUAUCUUCUAAGGCCAUCUGAUGUCAAGAAUGUUUCUUUUAAAAUUGUUUUUUAUGUCUGCAUUCUAUUAAUGUUAUGAUUUAUAAGUUGGUAUUGGCUUUCAACAAUAUAUGUAUUUUACAAACUCUCAGACUACUAAGUCAAAUUUUUGUGAUAUUGCCCUAUAUCAUUUUUUUUAUAGUUACGAAAUCUGAUAUUCUAUUUGAAACAGUUCAGCUUUUUAAAUUACAAUAAGUUUUUUACAGAUAAGGCGUUGUAAGAACUUAAGCACAUUAUUUGACACAGUUCAACUUUUUAAUUUACUUGUUUUACAGAAAAGAUCUUGUGCGUGAUGCUACAACUGCUUUGUGGUGCUCCAACAGAGGAAUGUCUGAGUCAGAGCUUG